rnacentral:rRNA from 1 species
CCCUACGGGGUGCACCAGGAAGGAAAUGGACAAGCCCUCCACCGUCGAGUGGCUGAGGUGGAACCACGACCGGGCUAAGAUCACCCUCUCCGUGUGCUCCGGCGCCCGGAUCCUGGGCCGCAUGGGACUCCUGGACGGGCUGGAAGUCACCACCCACCACGAGGUGUUCGACGACCUCCGCAGGAUCGCACCCAGUGCCCGGCUUUCCAGCGAGGCGCGUUUCGUCGACAACGGGCGGGUACUCACGGCCGGGGGCAUCUCCGCGGGGAUCGACGCGGCCGUUUACAUCGUCGCCAAGCUUCACGGGGAAGACGUGACGAACCGCACCGCCAGGUACAUGGAGUACGGGGACUGGAACAACCUGCCAGAGGCAACCGAGUAGGGGAGGCCUGCCUUUCAUGGAACUGGGCCGUGUGGGAGAGC